CCUACGGGCGGCAGCAGUGGGGAAUAUUGGACAAUGGGGGGAACCCUGAUCCAGCCAUGCCGCGUGUGUGAAGAAGGCCCUCGGGUUGUAAAGCACUUUCAGUGAGGAAGAACGCCUGGUGGUUAAUACCCAUCAGGAAAGACAUCACUCACAGAAGAAGCACCGGCUAACUCCGUGCCAGCAGCCGCGGUAAUACGGAGGGUGCGAGCGUUAAUCGGAAUUACUGGGCGUAAAGCGCGCGUAGGUGGCUUGAUAAGCCGGUUGUGAAAGCCCCGGGCUCAACCUGGGAACGGCAUCCGGAACUGUCAAGCUAGAGUGAAGGAGAGGAAGGUAGAAUUCCCGGUGUAGCGGUGAAAUGCGUAGAGAUCGGGAGGAAUACCAGUGGCGAAGGCGGCCUUCUGGACUGACACUGACACUGAGGUGCGAAAGCGUGGGUAGCAAACAGGAUUAGAUACCCGUGUAGUC
rnacentral:rRNA from 1 species